rnacentral:rRNA from 1 species
AUUGAACGCUGGCGGAAUGCUUUACACAUGCAAGUCGAACGGUAGACGGGGGCAACCCCUCGGAGAGUGGCGAACGGGUGAGUAAUAUAUCGGAACGUGCCCAGUCGUGGGGGAUAACGUAGCGAAAGUUACGCUAAUACCGCAUACGAUCUACGGAUGAAAGCGGGGGAUCGCAAGACCUCGCGCGAUUGGAGCGGCCGAUAUCAGAUUAGGUAGUUGGCGGGUAACGGCCCACCAAGCCUCCGAUCAGUAACUGGUGUGAGAGCACGACCAGUCACACGGGCACUGAGACACGGGCCCGACUCCUACGGGAGGCAGCAGUAAGGAAUAUUGGUCAAUGGACGCAAGUCUGAACCAGCCAUGCCGCGUGAAGGAUGAAGGCCCUCUGGGUUGUAAACUUCUUUUAUCUGGGACGAAAAACGGGCUUUCUAGCUCACUUGACGGUACCAGAGGAAUAAGCACCGGCUAACUCCGUG